UUCCCCUCUGUGCCAAGCCCAUGGAACAGCUCCUGUUAUUCCAGUGCUGAGCAUAGGAUGUGAAGGUGCUCUGAAGAGCUGGGAAGACUUUGUCAUUAUCCACUUGAAUUAUGGAGAGGGGAAGAGAGCUGCACGCAGAGAGUUUGCCAGCAGCAGUCACACAAGCACCAAAACCAGGCACACAAUCCUUGCAUGCUCCUGAAUAUUCCCUAAUGCCAGGAAAUGUUAUGUCUCAGCCUAUAGCUGGAAAUACGAGUGGACAUACAAAAAUAGGAACUGGUUCCUGUACUCUGGAAUUAAGGCCAUCUGCUGCAGGUCACACUUCACCUCUUAAAGAUCUGGCACAUUUUUCCUGGAUAAACCAAAGCAAAAAGGAAAGGGGUUUGUGAGUAGGAGAAUAGAUCAUGGAUUUGGCACCUGUGUCAAUCUAAGUGAUGCAAUUGAGAUGUUCCUCCACUGAAAUCCUACACUAGGAUUGUCAAUGGCAGAUAAAGA